AUUUGCUUUCCAUUUUUCAGAGGCUGCUUUAAAGACAGGCUAAAUUAUUAACCAGAGGCACUAACAUUUGGAAAACAAAAAGCUCAAGGACGUACAUACAGUAGCUCUAAACCUGCAGUGGUGUGGGGGAUGUUUCUUGACUGAUAUUGGAAGUGUAGAAUUAGCAUAAUCAGCAGUCAUUACUCCAGAGUCUCUGGACUCUUUGAUACUCUUGCUGUGAGCAGAAUGUGCUUCAACAUGCUGUGUUCCACUCAUUGAGAAAAUGAAAGAUUUGAAGAGACUGUGGAUUAAUGAUCUCCAGUUGGCCAGUUUCACUUGUGUAGGUAACAGCAGAUGGCAGAAGAGGGGCAGUCUGACAAAAUGGUGUCUGACAUGGAAGUGCGGAUGAAGCAAAGGUGUGUCACUGACUUCCUUCAUGUGGAAAAAAUGCCACCCACUGACAUUCAUCAGUGCUUGCUGAAUGCUUAUGGAGACCAAAAAGUGGAGAGCAUGUUCCCUAGCCUCACAGACCUCAGAUCUGUAGUUGAAGCACUGGAGCUGAAACCGUAUCAUUGGCACUGGGACAACUAGGCUGGACUUGGAUAAUUCCAGAAUCCUCACUGCAAGACCUGAUACAUCUUCUCAGAUGGGACAGUUAAGCAGUUUCACUAUUACUUGCUCUCCUUCUUCCCUAUUCCCCUGUGGUUGAUUCACACAAAAAUAAAUUAUCUUCAUCAGCUAUACUUUUCAUGCACAGCUCUUGGUCUAGGCUGCUGGUUUAAAAGAUCUGAAUUAAAAUCUAUUUACUUCCAGUGUCACGUUGAAAUACUGGUUUAUUUGCAGGAAAUGUUUCAUUUUGUUUUUCUUUUAGGAUUCUUUUUUCUUUCACUUCCUUUAUUUUAAGAUAUAUUUUACCACUUCCUAUUUCAGCCUUUGUAUAAGUACUUGUUGAUAAUCUAUUAUUUUUUCUAAUUAUAUUUUUAUAUCUCCUUUAUUCAGUGUACUGCUGAAGGAAAAGCAGAACAAUAAUAAAAGUAAAUGAGCUAUAUGGUUGAGAUGAAAAUUAAAUAGCCUUUCUGAAUUUGUCAGUUUUCUACAUAGUUUUUAUUUGAGAGUUUAUUAUAAAUGCAACCAUGCUGAAUUGAAGUUGUAAAGACUUGUUCUGCCUUUCCCUACUUCCUUUGUGCUUGCUUUUGUGGCUGUGGUGAAGCAUGAAGUAUUCAAUUUAAUAAUUACAUUUAAAAGAAAGUUAAUUAUACAAAGCUGCUCUGUGCCACAUCCACAUAAAUACAUUUAGUUGUCAAAUUUGCUGAAAUUUGAAUCUCCCUGGAAGAGCAUUAGUAUUACAAUUUUGCACACUUCAACAGCAGCUAUGUAAAUACUCAACUCUGAAAUCAAAUGCUAAUUUUUCCCAAGGAUUAGAUAAGUCAUGUAGCUAAUAUUUUUGUUGACUUUUAUCCCAAUAAGAUUUGCACUGUCCUACUUACAAUGUGAAAAAAUAGAUUUCUGGUUAGGACACUUGGCAAUCACGGGGAUGUUGCAGUUCAGAUCCAGUUGUUGAUGUGUUCUCAUACAUUUUCAGUCACAUCAUGUUUUUAAAACAUGCUCAGUCAUAUUUUUAGGAUAUGUUGAUUUUUUUGUGUGUUUGGAGGUGAAGACAAUAUUUUACACAGUCAUAUAUACUGUAAGCUGCUAAAUAGCAUAUCCUUUUAAUGUGACAAAUAUCUAUACUGUUAGCUAACAUGGACAGUGCAAUCUCAUUGUGGGAGUUAAAUGAUGAGAUGAAAUAGCCCAUGAUCUUGGAAAUGUGGGUUACAGUUUCUUAGGUAUUACAGACUAUAUCACUAAUGAAGCAAUUUGUUCUGUGUCCACUCACAUUUCAUUUGCUGCCAUCAACAAUUAAGAGAUGUCGUAGUAAGGUCAUCGUAGAUUAACACCUUGUCUUUGCAAAGAUCUCAUUAAAAUAGAGAGGAAUUCUAAUUCCUAGCCAAGAUAAUGUUAAUUUGAUGAGAGAAUAAAUAUUGUGGAAGCAAUUUGUGCAAGAGAAAUGAAUGUUAAAGGUAUUAUUCUCUUUUCAAUAAAAGAAGUAAUUCUUACAUGGAAAGAUAGCCUAUUGAAAAAAAUAGUCAGACAUGUUACUGCAGGAAAUGGUUAGAUACCUUGGCCUGGUUAAGGAAGCAUGUCAUGUUGUCCGAGAUUUGCACAGAUGUGCAGAGCCAUAAAUAAAUUGAACAGAAAAUAAGAUUUCUCCCUUUGCUGGUUGCCAGUGUUACAGUUAAACUACAAAGAAAGUAAUUUCUCCAACCAUCAUACAUUUACUUCCCAGUCAUCCUCGAAUGCUUGUAACAGUGAAGGGCGUUGUAAUUGACAUUUCAUUCUAAUACACUGGCUGCCUUGCCUGAAUUUUGGCUGGUUGAUAAGGCUCUUGGAAAUCCAGAGUCUCAUCAUGUCCUGAACAAUUUCAAUCCAGCCCUAUGGCAAUCUAAGCGCUUAACCAGCAAAACAGGAAAGACAAUAUUUGGAGAUGCUACCUUUCAAAAUGCACACAGCAGAGUAACUGAAAUAAUCAAAUUGCUCCUGAAUAAUCCUUUUUCAAAUUUGAAAGCAGAAUGAAGAAAAGAUUUAAAAGAAUAUACAUGUCAAUUUAAGCAAAUAAAAUGUGCAGACAUGAAUUCAUCACAACUGUAUUGUCACUGACGUUGCAUUUCAGAUAAAUUUGAUGAUAAUAUCACAUUUUUUUAAAGGAGGAAAAAAAUCAAUAAUUUUGUCUACAGACUUUGCAUUAUAUUCCAGUUACUUGAAAGAAAAUGUCAUGUGCAUCAACUCAUUCUUCAGGAUGUACUUUCUGAAAAGAUGUGGAUAAUAUUACAUAGACUAAGGGGAACACAGCUACGUUUGAGCUGCUUUAAGGCAAUGGUCCAUGUGCAUGCCCUACCAUGUGGAACCCUGUUGAGAAUCAGAGUUUAUUCAGUGAUAUAAUAUGGAUGCUUUUCCAGUUCAGAGGUGAAGUUUUUUUCUCUGCAAAAGUAACUCUAAUCCCAGUUUUGUCCACUUCUGUGUCUGCAUUUCUUUAACUGGUCACUGAAUCACAAAAUCACAGAAUUGCAGAAAUUGAAAGAGACCUCAAGAGAUCAUCGAGUCCAGCCUGCCCCUGCUAAAGCAGGUACCCUACAAGAGGUCACACAGGUUGCUGAUGAUGUUGAACAAGACCAGACCCAGCACUGACACCUGGGAAGCACCGGUAAUUAAAGGCCUCAAGCCAGAUUCUGUGCUGCUGAUGACAACCCUGUGAGCUCUGACAGUGAAACAGUUCUCAAUCCAGCUAACUGUCCACUCAUCUGUGCCACAUUCUCUACAUUUCAUAACCGGGAUGUUGUGGGAGACGGUGUCAAAUGCCCUACUGAAGUCACGGUACACAACAUCCACUGCUCUCCCUCCAUGUACCCAGACAGUGGUGACAUCAUAGAAGGAUAUCAGCAGCGAACAAGAGUUUCCAUGCCACGUUCAUAAAAUCUGCUCCAUUGGAGGCGACCUACUGCUGCUAUCACCAUUGCUGAAACACAUCACCCACCACCUCACUGCUCACAUACACUGUUUGGUCUCCAUAAGCAUUCAGCAAGUAUUGAUGAAUGUCAGUAGGUACAAUUAUUUUUGAAUGGAGGAAAUCAAUGACACACCUUUGCUUCAUAACACCCUACAGUAUUUUAUCAGACUGCCCCUCUAACGCCAUCCAGCACACAGCAACAAAAUAUAGAGUAUUGGUGGGAAGGUUCAGCCUCUACUGCUAUAUAACCAACAUUCCAUGUCUGCCAUUGCAGGCCAAUGUAAUAAAAUAUGAUGCAUCACUUUUGGAGCAGCCAUCAUGCCAUGAGUAUUUUGGCUUUCAUAUAUUGUAACUGAUAUAAUAUGUUCAACUUUUCUUAAUAUAAUAGUUUAGAGUCUUAUUUUUAUUUACUAUUUUCUUUCUUGUUCCUAAGAAAGUCUUUGAAUGUUGCAACUCUCAUUAUCCAGUCUUGCUGGGAAAACCAUAAAAAAGUCAAAGCACCUAUAUAUGUAGAAAAUAUAAUAUGAAGCAAAUCAAGAAUGAAAGAUAAAGAAUUAACUCAGAAAACAAUGAGAUUUGUAUUUUAAAAAAUACAUAACUUUGACUUUUUAUUAUUAUUCACAUAUAUUCUGCCUACAAGUUCUAAACUCUUAGAAAUACUGCAGUUGAUAAUCACACAGAGCAUUCCAAAAGCACCAAUAAAUUCAGUGAAAUACUCAUGAUGGUGACCUUAUGUUAUUAGUGUUACCUCAAAAAAGUCUCAAUAUAUGUAGCUGACAGCUGUACAUGUGCAUUUUGCUUCGGUAUAUCAGAUUUUUGUGCAGAUGAAGAUUGUGUUAUGACUGUCUCUUUCAUAGGUGAUAACAGUUCUGUUUCUCUUUGAGAGGUGCAAAACACAAUUGCUCCUAUGUGAUCCACAGACCUUAUGGAUGUGGAGGGUGAAAUAUUACUUAGGACAACUGUGUAGAUGCAACAAACUAUCAGCAUUGCAUAAACCAUUCUCCAUAUUUUGUCAUUUGACAGUUUCUGAUUUAUGCUGUUUCUCCAUCCAUCUGAAGUAGGUGUUUUUGUGCUUGUGUCAUGACUCUGUGUGAGUCCAGUUUCCUUCAGACAUACUUCUGGUUCCUGGCAUUACUCUUUCACCACACAGACUGUACGGAGUGCAUUUCAAAAGCUACCCUACCAAAUAAAAUAAUGGCUAUUUCUAGAAAUGUUGGUAGACCAAACUCUUUCUGUAGGCAGUCUUAGGCCAGUUGUAAAUAUCUAUAUUUAAAAAUACAAGCAUAACUCUAGAUUCCAGAGCAGCAGAAGUAUCUCAUUGAAUCAACUCCGUCUGUUUUUAGGCAUACUUUCAUGAUUCACAAAAUGAAGUCUUAUCUAUUACUUUCUACAGACCUUGUUCUUCUUCUUGUUUUCCUUUAAAGAAGAAAAGAUGCAAAAGCGGUGGUACCUACAUGUAGAAUUCUGAAAAUAAUGGAAAUUAAGAUAAUAAAUCUCUCCUAACAAGAACAUAUAUGAUGUUUCUGCUUCUUAGAGAUAAGUCAGGUGUUUGGAAAGCUUCUUGCAAUCACUGAGUGUAGUGCUUUAGAAGUCUUGUCUGUUGAGUGAGAAAAAAGAACAAAUAGAAGGCAGGUCUUUCUUAUAUAAGGGUUUCUAACACUCAGUAUUCAUCAAAGCCUCUAUCCUGUCCAACCCUUUUACAAUGAUCUCAUUUUCAUGAGAAGAAACAAGUGUUUGUUAAAGUAUUACGUCUCCUGCUAUAUAUCAAGGGUUUGUGACAAAGCCCGAACAAGUGACCAAGACACAUCUUUUAUACAUUUUCAGUCCUAAAGAAGAGACUGGACUGGGGCUUUCUUAGAGUCAUAUUCCUUGUAUCCACAAACAAGUAACGAUGUUGCAUAAAUUAGCGACUGCAUCUACCCUUUCUAAGAGAGGAAAGGAGAUGUUUUCUGUGUAAUAAAUCGGCUGCAAGACUAACUAAAUGCAUUUUGUAGUACUUUUUAUGGAGCAAGUGCAAUAUUUUUUACAGAUAAAGCAUAGCCAAGAGCAAAGGUUGAUGAUGGCUAUAUAAUUAAAGGCAUUCAAACUGUGCAAGUUGUCUGCCAACAAACGCUUUGCAAUGAAAAAGGCUCCAUAUUCAGCAACUGCUUUAAAAAUACUGUUCAAGCAUGGAUUUCCUUAAACUACCACUUGUCUGGCAAUGGCUUCCUCACCUGUGUAAUAAGAUUAAGAGAUCUACUUGAAAGCCAGAAAAGCUUUGCAAGUCAAGUGGAUAUUUGCAUAUUUUACAUUGCCAAAUACCUAAAGGAGAGAAACGUUUUCUGAAAGAUGAGGAAAACGUACAGAACACUAGAACUAGCACAAGGUUUUUAGACUCAAAGCAGCCCAAGUUCCUGAUUUUUGCCAGCUCUGCCAGCAUUGUUAAGUUAGUAAAAAAUAAAAAUAAAAAUCUGUUUGCAAUGACUGCAUGAACUUUACAAACUAGUAAAUAGUUAAUAUUUAAUCUUAAAUGUACUUCGGGUUUUAAAUCAAGAGAAACUAUUUCAGUGUCUCAGGUGUCAGAUGGGGUAGCUAAUGAAGUGCUUUCUUGAGUGAUUUCUGUCACAAGCCUGCAUUCUGCAAAAUAGACCUUGGAAGAUUACAGAUACAUCAGAGGUAUCUGUAGAUACCUUUCAAGAAUAAAAAUAACAAAAUAACCUUACUGUAGUGUUUUGUGACAUUUAUUUUCUUUGAAUAGCAAAAUACACUCUAUAUCAGUUUCAAAAAUAAAAUAAAUUUUAAAAAGUGUCAAUUUUCUUAAUGUGAUUUGCUUUAUUUUGCUAGCAUGAGAUUACUGAAAUCAGUUGGAAUACCUGAAUACAUUAAAAAUAGGGGAAAUGCAAUGUGUUAUGGGCAAAAAGUUCUAUAUUGAAUAGAAAAUUAUGGUAAGUCACAAAUAUUUCUGCUUAGUCUUAUACUAAGUACAGGCAAACAGUAAGCUUUCUCUUUUAAAUCCUGCCAGUUCAGGCCAGUAGUGACCCACAGUAUACUUUUCCUGUCCAGAAUUUCUCUUGAGAAAAGCUUGCCAAUCACACAAAAUUACUUGGUGCUUUGGGGAUCUGGACAUAUACAGAUAAGGGAAUCAACUACCAAACUUAUUUGAUGUGUAUCAUAAAUCAGAAGUGAACGUUAGUCUCCCAAGGGAACAAAAAAAAAUGGCCUACUGUAUUAAAAUACUUUGAUACCUUUGAUGUUCAAUGUUUAGAGCAUGAACUAUUUUCUAAACAUCUUUGAACUGAAGCUGAAAGAUACACUACUGAAAUCUACUCUUGCCUUCCUGCCUGCUUUUUUUUUUUUUUUUUUUUUUUUUUUUUUUUUUUUUUAACCAGCAAGGAGCAUCAAUUCCAUCUUAGACACAGAUAUGUGAUCAUUUGGCAAUGCUCUAAAAUUCUAAUUUAAAAUUGUUAUUUUCUUCUGUGCACAGGAAGACAUUUUUUGGUGGUUUUCUUUCAGGGGAGUGAAUGGUUUUUAGUUUUUCACCAAUUGAUAUCAUGAGAGAGAAUGAAAGACUGUGUAUACAUAAGCCACUGAAUAAUCAGUGAACCCAUUUAAGAGAGAUACCUACUGAGGUCAAUGAAAUUGGCAAUCUAAUGAACAAUCUAAUAGUAUUGUUACAAGUUUUAUGGUUUCUGUUUGUAAUUAACUUUAUGUGACAUUUAUUAUAAAAAGAUCGAAAAUUAUUAGUAGCAAUUACAUUUAAUGCAGCCAUGCAAUUGCACUUAUAUACUUAUUCAACUUUUAUUUUCAUUGACUCCCUGCUUCCUAAGUUAAUGCCUCUCUAUGUAUCAAACAACUUCAAUGUUUAUGAACUUUGGCCAAUAUGAGUAGAAAGUCUUUGUUUUCAUAAUGAUUUAUUUGAAUUCAGUUCUGUGGAUUUUAUCUGGAUACAUUUCUUGCUAUAUGAGAGAAAUCUCUUGAACAAAAGGAAGAAAAAGUAAUCCUUUAUAUUGUACUCAGUUCAUAGUUUCUUUGAAGUGAUGCUGAUAAAGGCAGUUUUGUGUUUUUCAGAAUGGAUUACUAACACAGUAAUAAUCAAAGAGCUGAUUUGUGUCAGUUGUACCACAUAGGGAAGACCCUCUAACUAGAUAUUUUAGAUGUUGAUAGCAUUUAUGAUUGAGUUUUGUAUAUACUUUGUUACAGAUGUGCAUAACUGUCAAAACCCAGGUUUUGUGAAAUGCUAAAAUGAACACACAGACACUGAAAAUAUGAAAAAGUUACAAUUAUGUUAUUCACCACUGAGUUUACAAAAACAGCACAGGUGUCAUUGCCACAGCAAGUCCAUAGAGUUAGUCUGUAUGUUCCACUGCCUCGUCCUGUAGCCCUGAAGUCACAGGUGCCACUGUCAGGCUGAAACCUCCUUUCAGAUGCUCUCUGUCUGGAAGCUUCAAAUCUACUGGAGAAUUCAAAUAGAUGCGAAAAGUCUUUGCAUUUUCUCUACUCAUAUUCACACUGUUCCUUGCCAGUGCUGUCAUAGCCAUGGACUCUACAGGAACAUAAGCAAAAGUCAUUCCAUAUCAGGGAAAAGCAUGUGAUACAGUCACAACAGCCCCUUGUAACACAAUAAGCAUAGGGCAAAGUGGCUGGAAAGCUCCAUACUGGAGAAGGAUUCGGGGGGUUAGUUGACAGCCAGCUACACAUGAGCCAGCAGUAAGCCCAGAUGUCCAAGAAGGCAUCCUGGGUUAUAUCAGAAAUAUUGUCUGCCCAGGGAAGUGGUGGAUUCACCAUCCCUGGAUGUUUUCAAGGAAAGGGUAGAUAUGACACUUAGGGACAUGGUUUGUGGGCAUGGUGGUGAUGAAUCAGUGGUUGAAUUAGAUAAUGUUAGUGGUCUUUUUCCACCUUAAUGAUUCUCUGAUCCUAUGAUCAUUAAAUAGGGAAGAUAUCUGAAUAAUAGUUCCAAGGAGGCAUAUAGCAGUUUCAGGGAGAAAACUUAUUGACAGACUGGAACAUUUUGAAAUUUCCAAAUUAAAAUUUCUGAACAAUUAUUUUAUCUGUGCAAAAAUCAUAUUUGGAUAUUUUACAACAAUCUGUGGGGAGGGCUACUGUUACUUUUGAUAAUAAUUCAUUGGUGCUUUUAUUGUUUCUUGGCUGACUUUCAACAUGUAGCUCCUACAAUGCAAGGGAAGGUAGACACGGUUUCUGUUACUACACUGAUGGAAUAUUGAAACCUGAAUUGAAGUGCAUUAGCUGAAGUCAGACAAGGUUGUGGUAGCGAUCACUAGGGAAAUUAGAAAACCUUGAAAAACUUUGAAGACAUUUUUUGCUAGGGCACCUAUGUAUUAAAAAACUGUGUCUCUCAGUUAUGAUAAAAUUGUAUUACAUAACCUGAGUGAUCUCAGGAGUUAGUAAGUGACUGAUUUUCUGUUCCCUUGGUAAGCAAUAAUUCAUGCAAACAGAUUGACUGAAGUUUUACCGUGCUAGUGUAAAGAGAAAACAGUGAAAUAUUGUUUGAGAUGUUUUUACAAGUGAAAAUGACAGCAUAUGAAGAAAUAUGUUAUAAAACAGGACAGUAUUAAAAAAGUAAAGAAAGCUAAGCUCAGUCUUUUGAAGAAAAAUAUUAAAGAAGUUGGUAGGAAAAAAAAAGAACUCGUUUCAUGUACAUAGAGAGAAAACAGGCAUUAAUAACCUGCAUGUGCACAGAUCAGCAAAUUUAUGAAGAUAUGUAUGAACAGAGAACACGACUUCAAAGCCAUUUGUAAUUACAGAAUGGUUUAUAUUUAAUCCUAAAUGUAUGGAAGGGGAUAAUGAGCUGGGAAAAAAUGAAGGCAUAUCGAACUAUUCUAGCAAAAACAAGGGAAUUUUUGCCAUUUUGUGUACUUUCUAUAGGCUAGAGGGACAAAUUUGUGUAUAGUAGAGUUCCUAUGAAAUUCAGGGUUCUGAUUUGACACAUGAAGUGAAAACAUCUUGGAUGCUUUAAUUUUACUGUGAAAAAACAGCAUAUGAUAUCAUGCACAUUAUAUAUGCAUAUAAAUGAUAUUAUUUUAUGGGUUUUAUGAUCUUUGUUACUGGUAUUCCACAUCAUAAUAUCAUGUAAAGCAUUGGGAGUUAAAAGUUGAGAACAAUUAAUUCUGUUAUUUUUUAUGUAGCAGCUAAUCACAAGGCAAAAUGCUUCCUUUGAUAGGAUCUGAGAAACUGAAAAGCUUGCCUCAGAGAAGUAUUCAUCUCAGCUAAUUUUAAACACUUAUAACAUGGAAGUCUGCAUCUGAGCUAAUGGCCUUAGGCACAUAUGACCUUUCCCUGGUCCACCAUAGAUGAGAUGAGAAGAAAUCUGAAUCUAAAUCCAAAAGAGCAUUUGAAUGUGGAAGUAAAAGCCUGCAUUGUGAAGCCUGAGAGAGAAAUUUGCCCAUGCUUAAUGGUAUUAAUAAAGAUCUGGGGAAGUAGAAUUGAAAAAUUCAGAAGCUUUUUUUUUUUUUUUUUUCUUUUUAAUAUCUUGAUGUCUAAGAAUAAAUAAUAAUCCUUUUUCUUUGUAUUCACUUAAAACCGUAAGUUUGCCAAGACAAUUAUUUUCUUGUUUUCCAUAGUUAAUAUUCUGCAAAGUCUUCAAUAAGGAGGUUUCACAGAUGAUUUAAGAACACUUUGAAAGUAUAAUGUACUUCUGUGAAAUGUGGAGGCUGCGAUGAAAUAUUUAAACAUCAAUGGAUUGAGAUGGAAAAUACCUAAUGGCUUUCCUUGCGGAAUCAUGUAUUGAAUAUUUUGGAUUCAUUUUAAAUCUUAGGGGAUCCACCUAACAGUUUAAUUGCUGAGAAAAAAAAUGCUGCAAUUGACAUCUAAACCAAAUUGCUUUAACCAAGUCCUGAAUUAAAAAUAUUUGUGUUUUUAUUACAGAAUAUGAAUUUCAAUAUAUCCGUAAUGGCAGAAUCUCCCAAAAAGCUAUUAACUGAGAUAACUGGCUGAGGAAAUCAACCCACUAAGCAAUUUUGUGAAAAUUAAAAUUCAUUUUCCACACAUUGUAGUGUACUGGUUCAGUAUAGCACCAGUUCAGUAUAGCACCUUUUUCUGUGAUAUUUCCCAUUUGUUAAAAUAGGAGUAGUAGUCAUCCUGUUUCUACCAGUUUAAGAGCCUUAAUACCAGCAAAGCAAGAGUGCUGAGGAUUUGACAGACACGCUUAGGUCAUUAUUUCAUAGUGCAAAUAUUUUUUAAGUAUGUACAAGGUAAAACCAAAUGAAACAAAUCCAUUAAGCAUCAUUUUUUAUAGCUUUUCUUCCUAUUCCUUGGAAACCUCUGGGGACAGUGAUUCCACCACCUCCCUAGGCAGCCUGUUCCAAUACUUCAUCACUCCAAGAACUUUUUCCUGAUAUCCAACCUGUUCAGCUAUCCCCCAGUUCAACUCAAAGCCGUUACCUCUUAUACUACUACUGUUACAUGUGAGAAGAGACCAGCCUCCAUCUUGCUACUUCUUCCUCUCAGACUAUUACAGAGCUGUAAGAUCUUUCCUGAGCCUCCCCCUCUCCAGACUAAACAAUCCCAGUUCCAUCAGCUGCUCCCCACAGGACUUUUGUUCCAGACCUUCCAGCAGCUUCUUUGCCCUUCUUAGGAUAUGGUCCAGGGCCUCAGUGUCUUUCUUGUAGUGAGGGGUUCAAAACUGAACGCAGUAUUUGAGGUAUGGCCUCACCAGUGCUGUGUACACGGCAAUGAUCGAUCUCAUGCCUAGUUCUGCUGACUACACUCUUUCUGAUACAAGCCAGAAUGCUAGUGUUCUUGGCUACCUGAGCACACUGUUGAGUCAUGUUCAGCUGAGCACUGGCCAAGAAUCCCAGGUCAUUUUCCACCAUGCAGGUUUCCAGCCACUCUACCCCAAGCCUGUAAUGUUGCACGUGGUUGUUGUGACCAAAGUGCAGGAUUCAGUACUUGGUCUUGUUGAAGCUCAUGCAAUUGGCCUCAGUCCAUCAAUCUAGACUGUCCAGAUACCAACGUAGAACUUUUCUACUCUCAGACAUGGUUUCAUCUGAAGAUUUACUGAUGGCCCACUUAAUCACCUUGUCCAGAUCAUCAAUGAAGAUAUUAAACAGGACCAGCACUAAUACUGACCCCUGGAGAACACCAUUUGUGACUGGUCACCAGCUAGAUUUAACUCCAUUCACCACCACACUCUGGGUCCAGCCCUCCAGCCGGUUCUCUACCCAGUGAAGACUGUACCUGUUCAAGCCAUGGACUGCCAUCUUUUCCAGGAGAAUGCUGUGGGACACAAUGUCAAAGGCUUUAUUCAUGUCUAGGUGGACUACAUCCAUAGCUUUUCCCUCAUCUACUAGGGAAUUUUUGUAGUCAUGAUCCAAAUUUUCAGAAGGUAUCUCUGUAUCCUGAUGAAGAGAUCUUUUAAAUGGCUCAUUGAAGGAGACUCAGAUUGCCUAGAAACUGAUGCGCAUUAUGGUUCCACACCCUUACUCAUAAUUUUUAUAAUUAAUAAAAAUUCAGAGAGAAACUCCUUCCAUUUUAAAUUUGCCCAUAGCACUCCUGUGCUAGAGUUUAGAAUUCUCGACUCUGAAGAUAAACGGAAAAUUAUUUUUUCUAAUUGUAUCCAGGAGCUUUUAUGUAGCAUAUUUUAAAAUGUCACAAAAUAAUGAAGUUUAGAUAAGCCAUUAAGGAAAAAACAUGUUUUUCAACUGAGUAAAGAUGCCAGCAAUUCAAACAAUAGUGCUGCAUUUGUCAGAUAAUUAGCCAAUGAUUGUCUUUUGAACUCUGAAAAUAAAUUUAGAAGGAGCAGAUAUGCUGUGCUGUAAAAUGUGAGAGCUUUCAGAGUUUUUUUUUCUUCUUCUUUUUAAGACUUUUGCUUAAAGAUUUUUUUUUGAAGUGUUUUCUAACUAAGUACUUGAAUUAUGUACACAUGAAUAGCCUUUAAGGAAAUCAUACAGGUCUCUUCAACUAUAUGCUAUACAGAUUUUAAUUUUACAGAUUUUUAUUAUUUUAGUUCCACUAAAUGCUUUUAGUUAAGGUUGACCAAAAUUUUCCCCUUUGAGACCAGUUUUUAAAUUCCUUGUAAUUGCCAUAUUUAAACUGUUCAUGCUGUUGUGCCCCAUGCCAUAUGUCUACUCUGGGAUGAAUCAGUUUGGAAAAUUCCAUAAAAAUGGCUCAGUAGUUUUGCAGUAUUGACAAAAAUGCUUUUUUUUUCCCCCCAUAACUAAUAUAUUAUGCUGAAGCAGUUAACUUGAAUACUGUUGUUAUUUCCUAAUGAACCUCUGUUUAUGUUGUAUUGAUGUCCUGUAGAAAUGAGUCCAAAUGAAACUUCUGAUAAAAUCUUAGUAACUUGUGGGAAUACAAGAAAAACUGUUCAGAGGAGCAGCUGUGGAGCAAGAUAAACAGCAGUAAGCAAAAGAGCAAAACAAACAAAAAUUGAUCUCUCCUCCCAGCUAUUCAUUUUACUAGGGAUCAAACUCUAUGGUCAAGUAAAAGUUUUUGAUGAACGUUACUUUAGAAUAAAUAUAUCUAAUUAAUUGAAUAGUACUUAAAACGUCAUUUCAACUCUACACAUUUAUUUUUUAGGUGCAAAUCUUUCCCAAGAAUAUUCACAGAACAGAGAAUCAGGCGUAAAACCUAUCUACAUUUACACACUACUUUUUGACAGCAACAUCUUAAAUGUACUAUACUAUUCUGACAUUUUUAAGAGAACUUUUAAGAGAAAAUACUUGUGAGUAUCUGCAGUUCAAAUUUAUGCUAUUCUUUCUUUAUGGUAACUCACAAUAUUGUACACUAACUAUCAAAAGAAAGAAAUUUGUGAUUCCCCUGCAAUAUUUGCCUUUGGAUAAAAGAGGAAAAAAAAUCUAAUGCCUUCACAGACUGUAAUAAGUCUAAAAUUCACAAACUAAACCUCUAGUUCUAAUAACAUGGAAAACAUGCUUAACUCUGGUCACUCAAAUACUUCAGGGUAAGUCCACCUUCAUCUGUUGAAUACUCUUGCAUCCUCAGCACAGUAGCCAGGAAAAUUGACUGUGUGACAUAUCCAAGGUUUUUUUUUGUUUUGUUUUUACCAUGGAAGCCACUCUGUGUUCAUGUGCCUGCUUAUCCUACUGCUUGUUGUUGGUUUAGCCUGGCAGGCAGCUCAGCACUACACAGCCGCUCAUUCUGUUUCUGCCACACUCUUCCUCGCAGUGGGAUGAAUGAAAGAAGUGGAAAAAAGGGUAAAACUCGUGGGUUGAUAUAAUUGCAGUUUAUAAAACAGGAAAGGAAGGGAAAAUAAUGAUAUUGGUCUUAGAAGCCGCUAUUUCCCCUCUCCCUACCCCCCUUCUGGACAACUCCCCCAGUUUUAUUGUUCCAUAUAAUGCCAGAUGGCAUGGGAUAUCUCUUUGGCUAGUUUGGGUCUGUUGUCCUGAUUCUGUCCCUCCCCCCAGCUUCUUGUGCACCCUCAGCUCCUCACUGGCAGAGCAAUACAAGAAGCAGAAAAAACCUCAGUGCUGUGCAAGCAUUGCUAUGCAACAGAUAAAUAAUCGGUGUGCUGUCAACAUUAUUGUCAUCUGUCUCGAUCCAAUUUAUCGAAGAGAGAGG
ensembl:lncRNA